rnacentral:rRNA from 1 species
AUGUUAACUAUCUCCCAUACCUCUCAUGAGUUUAUGGAAGACUUGAAGGAGGCAGAUUUGUGUGCUGCACUUGUUGUAAAGGGAGAAGAGCACCUGCCUGUUGAAAUUCCAGCAAAGGUACGUGGUUUAUUGGCAGAAUUUCAGAACAUACUUGGGGAGCCACAUGGCUUGCCACCGAUGAGAGGAAUUCAACAUAGAAUUGACUUAAUUUCGGGAGCAAGUCUUCCUAAUCUUCCACACUAUCGAAUGAGCCCAAAGGAGCAUGAUAUAUUGAAGGAGAAAGUGGAGGAAUUGUUGCAAAAGGGGCACAUUCGAGAAAGUAUUAGCCCAUGUGCUGUACCAGCCCUACUCAUGCCAAAGAAAGAUGGAUCUUGGCGCAUGUGUCUGGACAAUAAAGCCGUUAACAAGAUCACCGUAAGGUAUAGAUUCCUUAUUCCCCGUUUGGAUGAUAUGUUGGAUCAGCUUAGUGGAGCAAGAGUGUUCACAAAGCUAGAUUUAAGAAGUGGAUAUCAUCAAAUCCGUAUAAGACCCGGGGAUGAAUGGAAGACCGCCUUCAAGACAAAGGAAGGGUUGUUUGAAUGGCUAGUCAUGCCAUUUGGACUCUCAAAUGCACCAAGUACCUUUAUGCACUUAAUGAAUCAAGUCCUUAGACCCUUUUUAUUCCACUUGGUUGUGGUCUAUUUCGAUGACAUCUUGAUCUAUAGCAAGGAUGAGGAUGAACACUUUGAUCAUAUUCGGAAGGUGCUAGAAGUACUAAGGGAAAAUGAGCUCUACGUCAACUUGAAGAAAUGUGUUUUCCUACAAACACAACUUCUUUUCCUAGGAUUUGUCAUAACAUGUGACGGCAUUCGUGUUGAUGAUUCUAAGGUUGAAGCAAUCCGAGAAUGGCCAACUCCUAAGACCAUUUCUGAGGUAAGAAGCUUUCAUGGCCUUGCAACUUUCUAUAGGCGAUUUGUGAAGAAUUUCAGCACUAUUAUGGCACCAAUUACCGAGUGUUUGAAGAAAGGAAAGUUCCAAUGGACAGAAGCAGCUGAAGCUAGUUUCAAUGAGAUUAAACAAAAGCUAUCACAAGCUCCUGUCUUGGUACUACCUGAUUUCAACAAGACUUUUGAGUUGGAGUGUGAUGCAAGUGGAGUAGGCAUUGGGGCUGUCCUAUCUCAAGAAAGGAAGCCUAUUGCUUUCUUUAGUGAGGAGUUAAGUGAAGCUAGACAGAAAUGGAGUACCUAUCAGCAAGAAUUAUACGCCGUUUUCAGAGCGUUGAAAACUUGGGAAGUCUAUUUGCUGCCCAAAGAGUUCAUUGUUUAUAGCGACCAUCAAUCCUUGAAGCAUUUUAGAAAUCAAAAGCAUGUUGACCGCAUGCUAGUAAGAUGGGCAGCAUAUCUGGAGAGGUUUAACUAUCUCAUCGUGCAUAAAUCUGGAAUAACUAACAGAGUGGCCGAUGCUUUGAGUCGUCGUGCAUGCCUCUUGACUUCUUUUGAAGCUGAACUUUCGGGCAUGGAUCAAAUAAAGGAGUUGUAUGAGGGUGACGAAGACUUUGGCCAUGUUUGGGUAAAGCACGCAAGGGGCCAACCAUUAGGUGAUGACUAUUUGAUGCAAGAUUGA